rnacentral:rRNA from 1 species
AACGCUAGCUACAGGCUUAACACAUGCAAGUCGCGGGGCAGCAUGAAUUUAGCUUGCUAAAUUUGAUGGCGACCGGCGCACGGGUGAGUAACGCGUAUCCAACCUUCCCCUGUCCACGGGAUAGCCCGUCGAAAGGCGGAUUAAUACCGUAUGAGGUCACAUGACGGCAUCAGAGUGUGACGAAAGGUUUGGCGGACAGGGAUGGGGAUGCGUCCGAUUAGCUUGUUGGCGGGGUAACGGCCCACCAAGGCUACGAUCGGUAGGGGUUCUGAGAGGAAGGUCCCCCACAUUGGAACUGAGACACGGUCCAAACUCCUACGGGAGGCAGCAGUGAGGAAUAUUGGUCAAUGGGCGAGAGCCUGAACCAGCCAAGUAGCGUGCAGGAUGACGGCCCUAUGGGUUGUAAACUGCUUUUAUGCGGGGAUAACGUGCGCCACGUGUGGUGUAUUGCAGGUACCGCAUGAAUAAGGACCGGCUAAUUCCGUGCCAGCAGCCGCGGUAAUACGGAAGGUCCGGGCGUUAUCCGGAUUUAUUGGGUUUAAAGGGAGCGUAGGCCGCUGUUUAAGCGUGUUGUGAAAAACCGGGGCUCAACUCCGGUCGUGCAGCGCGAACUGGACGGCUUGAGUGCGCGGUAAGUGGGCGGAAUUUGUGGUGUAGCGGUGAAAUGCUUAGAUAUCACGAAGAACUCCGAUUG